AAAAGCCCAAGAGGCAGCAAAGGGGGCAUAUGGCAAGGGACAUUAGCAAAGGCCUAGUCAUAGGCAAAGAGCAAGGAGUAGGAACAUGCCUCAAUCUCCCCUAAAGAUGGACAUACAAUCAAAGACACCAACAGAAUUGUACGGAAGGCUAUCUGUUCUUUUGAUCUAAGAAUGGAGAGAAUGCAGGACAACAUCAUUGUCACCGCUUGCAUGCUACAUGUGUCUGAGUGGCAGCUCCCAUAUGAAUAAAUGUUUUAAGA